UACGGGGGGUGCGAGCGUUGUCCGGAAUCACUGGGCGUAAAGGGCGCGUAGGUGGUUUGAUAAGGGUGUGGUGAAAGUCCGGGGCUCAACCCCGGAUCUGCCGUGCCGACUGUCAAACUCGAGGACUGUAGAGGCAGACGGAAUUCCGGGUGUAGCGGUGGAAUGCGUAGAGAUCCGGAGGAAGACCGGUGGCGAAGGCGGUCUGCUGGGCAGUUUCUGACACUGAGGCGCGACAGCGUGGGAGCAA
rnacentral:rRNA from 1 species